UUCUCUCUCUUCAUCUUUAUAUGUCUCCUGCCCACAGCAUCAAUCAUUUCUGCCUAAAAGCUUUCUUCUCGAUACUUCUCCUUUUAUCUGGAAACCGCGAUUGCGCAUCGAGAUCUCCGUAUCGCCAUCGCCAACAGCAGCUGAUUAUGAGGUUUUUGAAGCCAAAGUCUACUGUUCCAGAAUCUAUCAGUUCUGGUAUUGUUCCUUCCUUGAUACCAAGCUGGAUAUAUAAUUAUUGAAGCUAUGUUGACUGUUUCCACUAUACAUAAGUGAAGUGAUAUGCUGAUUUGGAAAUGAGGUUGAUACCACCUGACACUCGGUCUUAGUGACACAAGCUAGAAGAAAGGACCUCAUAUACUUCAUGUCAUGAAAAGCAUCCACACAUUGCAGUGUAUAAGUAAGAAAUGAAAUUUCAUGUUGAUUUUCCAGAUUUUGGAGGUCUCUGAUGUUCAUUCCAGCAAGUUCCUCUCCCAAAAGCUUCCUGCAACCACAACAGAAGAGGCAACUCAUUUGAGAUGAAAGAUGAGAGCUAGGAAUGGUCUUUCAAUGGUGCAGGGGGAAGAAGUAGAAGCCUAGACACUCAAUAUAGUAAAGCUUCUUCUGGAAGGGGGUAGUAACAUCUGAAGAUGGCCAUUCAUUAAUCAUGAGAAUGUGCUUCCUAAUGCUCGAAUAGGGAAAUAACUGCAGUGAAUCCAGGUAGGCAGGUGGGAUGAAUGCAAGUCUGUAGAAGGAGAAACUGAUGACUAGCUUCGGUGAUGCAGUCUCAGAUUCUCAUUAUAUCUAAUUACCACCAGGUUAGGUCAGAUUCUCAUAUUAUGUUUUCCCUCCUCAAACUCGAGAUCUCAGUGUUCGCUAAAGCAUGUUAAACAUUUAUACUGAAAUACGGAGUAUAAACUUUAAACAUAAUGCACCCCUUUGAUCUAUAGAAUUUAGCAUAUCCCAAAUUCUAAUCAACAAAUUAAGUAGAACUAUGUAGUAACUACGUCUGAAGUAUUGAUCAAAACUUCUCUCAUCUAGCCAGUAAAAAGAGUGUGCAUAAAGUUGAUAAAAUAUAAACAAAAUCACUUAUGAUAGUUUUUUUGAUGGUCAGGGACUCAGGGUCCAUAUAAUAUUAUCUGAGUCUCUACAUCUAGUGGCAUAUUUGUUGUUUUGGUGGUGUUGCUUGUGUUUGAAUUCAAAUUGAGACAUGGUACAAGACUCCACAGGUUAAAAAAAAUAUGAUAAAACUAUAUAGUAGCUGGUUGUUUUAUAUGACGACAUAUGAAAAAUUAUAUAAAUGUGGUUUUCAGUAAUGAACUAUGCUCCUUUUUGUCUUCUCAUUCCAGUGAGUGUUAAUGUAAAACAUUAGCAAGAAACAAUGAUUAAAAAAAACAAUCUAUUGAAUCACGAAGAAUGUGUCGUUUUUGGUCUUUCUAGUAGUAUAUUGCAAAAUUUAAAUGACAAAUCAUCUAGUUUCAAGAAAACUUGGUUUUUCUAGUAUAUUGCAAAAUUCAAAUGACAAUUCAUUUAGUUUCAAGAAAACUUAAUGGCCGUUGGUAGGAUGACAUGCAAGUUAAAGAGAGAUGAAUAAGUAGAGUGGAGAGGAAUUUAUUAUUUAGUUUCUUAGGAUCAAAACAUAAUUUGUUUAAUCAUCAUCCACGUUUGACACAUUAAUGUGUGUGCUACUAUUCAUUCACAACGUCAACAUUUUACAUGCAUGCGCUAACUCUGCAUUGCAUUUGUUAUUUGAAACUUCAUGAUUUGUUGUUUAAAUGUUGAAAGAUAUGGGAUAGACCAUAAGUUCAUCUAAUUUUGUGAUUUUUAAAAAUAAUUAACUUAAAAUAUUGCAAAAUGGUGUGUUUUUUUAGUUUAGCUUAUUAUCAGAUUUUCAGGAUCUAAAAAAAUACAGGUAGGCACAUAUACACAAAUGUAAGUACUACUACAGUUUAUAAUCAAAUUCUAAAGAUGUUAUGUGAGAUAAGAAGUACAUUGAUAUAUGUAAGUACUGCUACAGUUUAUAAUCAAAUUCUAAAGAUGUUAUGUGAGAUAAGAAGUACAUUGAUAUAUGAGUUACUUGCAUUAAACUUUACUACUACAAUAAAUCUAACAAAUUUGAGAUACAAGUCCCCUAUCCCAUACAAGCGACUUGACGGAGAACUUUAGGUGGUAUUCAGUUUCCUAGAUAAAUAAUAUCAUGAUAUAAUCUAUGAGUAAGUUGUGAAAUUAUUUUAGUUAUAGAGAUUAGCUAUGACUGAUUAUUUCAUGAUUAUUCAUCUAGGAUUGAAUUGUGUGAUUGAAUCUCAUGAACCAAACAUUAGUUUACUGGUAAGAUGUGUUUGUCCAUCAGAGUGACGAAGAUAAAUGGGAAUUAUUAUUAUUCCUUUUUUUUAAAUGCAAGGAUUUUUCUAUUUUUCACAAGUUUUGGAUUUUUAUUAUAGCUCACUCAUGUAUAUUCUUUUUCCUAAGAAUUCAGUUCUAGUUUGGUUAUGAGGAUCAGUGCGUGGAUAAAUAUGAAUGUAUUAUGUAUGUGUGCUUAUAUAUCAUCUAAACAAGGAUUACUUUCUGUUUUGUUUCUA